rnacentral:rRNA from 1 species
UACAGAGGGGGCAAGCGUUGUUCGGAAUUACUGGGCGUAAAGGGCGCGUAGGCGGCCUGUUAAGUCGACCGUGAAAUCCCCGGGCUCAACCCGGGAACUGCGUCCGAUACUGGCAGGCUUGAAUCCGGGAGAGGGAUGCGGAAUUCCAGGUGUAGCGGUGAAAUGCGUAGAUAUCUGGAGGAACACCGGUGGCGAAGGCGGCACCCUGGACCGGCAUUGACGCUGAGGCGCGAAAGCCAGGGGAGCAAACGGG